rnacentral:rRNA from 1 species
AUUGAACGCUGGCGGCAGGCCUAACACAUGCAAGUCGAGCGAGUGGCGGACGGGUGAGUAAUGUAUGGGAAUCUGCCUGAUGGAGGGGGAUAACUACUGGACACGGUAGCUAAUACCGCAUACCAUCGGAUGUGCCCAGAUGGGAUUAGCUAGUAGGUGGGGUAAAGGCUCACCUAGGCGACGAUCUCUAGCUGGUCUGAGAGGAUGACCAGCCACACUGGAACUGAGACACGGUCCAGACUCCUACGGGAGGCAGCAGUGGGGAAUAUUGGACAAUGGGCGAAAGCCUGAUGCAGCCAUGCCGCGUGUAUGAAGAAGGCCUUCGGGUUGUAAAGUACUUUCAGCGGGGAGGCGUUACCCGCAGAAGAAGCACCGGCUAACUACGUGCCAGCAGCCGCGGUAAUUC